rnacentral:rRNA from 1 species
UGGGGAAUAUUGGGCAAUGGAGGGAACUCUGACCCAGCGACGCCGCGUGCGGGAUGAAGGCCUUCGGGUUGUAAACCGCUUUCAGCAAGGAAGAAGCGAAAGUGACGGUACUUGCAGAAGAAGCACCGGCUAACUAUGUGCCAGCAGCCGCGGUAAUACAUAGGGUGCAAGCGUUGUCCGGAAUUAUUGGGCGUAAAGAGCUCGUAGGUGGUUCGUCACGUCGGAUGUGAAAAUCUGGGGCUUAACCCCAGACCUGCAUUCGAUACGGGCGAGCUAGAGUGUGGUAGGGGAGACUGGAAUUCCUGGUGUAGCGGUGGAAUGCGCAGAUAUCAGGAGGAACACCAAUGGCGAAGGCAGGUCUCUGGGCCAUUACUGACACUGAGGAGCGAAAGCGUGGGGAGCGAACAGGAUUAGAUACCCUGGUAGUCCACGCCGUAAACGGUGGGCACUAGUCGUGGGAACCUUCCACGGUUUCUGCGACGCAGCUAACGCAUUAAGUGCCCCGCCUGGGGAGUACGAUCGCAAGAUUA